rnacentral:rRNA from 1 species
ACGCACGCUGGCGGCGUGCUUCACCCAUGCAAGUCGCACGGAAAGGCCCUGCUUUUGUGGGGUGCUCGAGUGGCGAACGGGUGAGUAACACGUGAGUAACCUGCCCUUGACUUUGGGAUAACUUCAGGAAACUGGGGCUAAUACCGGAUAGGAGCUCCUGCUGCAUGGUGGGGGUUGGAAAGUUUCGGCGGUUGGGGAUGGACUCGCGGCUUAUCAGCUUGUUGGUGGGGUAGUGGCUUACCAAGGCUUUGACGGGUAGCCGGCCUGAGAGGGUGACCGGCCACAUUGGGACUGAGAUACGGCCCAGGCUCCUACGGGAGGCAGCAGUGGGGAAUAUUGCACAAUGGGCGGAAGCCUGAUGCAGCAACGCCGCGUGCGGGAUGACGGCCUUCGGGUUGUAAACCGCUUUCGCCUGUGACGAAGCGUGAGUGACGGUAAUGGGUAAAGAAGCACCGGCUAACUACGUG